UCCUGGCUCAGGAUGAACGCUGGCGGUAUGCUUAACACAUGCAAGUCGAACGGUGUCUUCGGGCACAGUGGCGGACGGGUGAGUAACGCGUGAGAAUCUGGCUCUAGGUCUGGGACAACCACUGGAAACGGUGGCUAAUACCGGAUGUGCCGAGAGGUGAAAGAUUAAUUGCCUAGAGAUGAGCUCGCGUCUGAUUAGCUAGUUGGAAGUGUAAUGGACUCCCAAGGCGACGAUCAGUAGCUGGUCUGAGAGGACGAUCAGCCACACUGGGACUGAGACACGCCCCAGACUCCUACGGGAGGCAGCAGUGGGGAAUUUUCCGCAAUGGGCGAAAGCCUGACGGAGCAAUACCGCGUGAGGGAGGAAGGCUCUUGGGUCGUAAACCUCUUUUCUCAGGGAAGAACACAAUGACGGUACCUGAGGAAUAAGCAUCGGCUAACUCCGUGCCAGCAGCCGCGGUAAUACGGAGGAUGCAAGCGUUAUCCGGAAUGAUUGGGCGUAAAGCGUCCGCAGGUGGCAAUGUAAGUCUGCUGUUAAAGAGUCUAGCUCAACUAGAUAAAAGCAGUGGAAACUACAUAGCUAGAGUACGUUCGGGGCAGAGGGAAUUCCUGGUGUAGCGGUGAAAUGCGUAGAGAUCAGGAAGAACACCGGUGGCGAAGGCGCUCUGCUAGGCCGUAACUGACACUGAGGGACGAAAGCUAGGGGAGCGAAUGGGAUUAGAUACCCCAGUAGUCCUAGCCGUAAACGAUGGAUACUAGGCGUGGCUUGUAUCGACCCGAGCCGUGCCGUAGCUAACGCGUUAAGUAUCCCGCCUGGGGAGUACGCCGGCAACGGUGAAACUCAAAGGAAUUGACGGGGGCCCGCACAAGCGGUGGAGUAUGUGGUUUAAUUCGAUGCAACGCGAAGAACCUUACCAAGGCUUGACAUGUCGCGAAUCUCGGUGAAAGCUGAGAGUGCCUUCGGGAGCGCGAACACAGGUGGUGCAUGGCUGUCGUCAGCUCGUGUCGUGAGAUGUUGGGUUAAGUCCCGCAACGAGCGCAACCCUCGUUUUUAGUUGCUCASCAUUAAGUUGGGCACUCUAGAGAGACUGCCGGUGACAAACCGGAGGAAGGUGGGGAUGACGUCAAGUCAGCAUGCCCCUUACGCCUUGGGCUACACACGUACUACAAUGCUCCGGACAGAGGGCAGCAAGCAUGCGAAUGCAAGCAAAUCCCGUAAACCGGAGCUCAGUUCAGAUCGCAGGCUGCAACAUCGCCUGCGUGAAGGAGGAAUCGCUAGUAAUUGCAGGUCAGCAUACUGCAGUGAAUUCGUUCCCGGGCCUUGUACACACCGCCCGUCACACCAUGGAAGCUGGUAGUGCCCGAAGUCAUUACUCCAACUUUUCGGAGAGGAGGAUGCCUAAGGCAGGACUGGUGACUGGGGUGAAGUCGUAACAAGGUAGCCGUACCGGAAGGUGUGGCUGGAUCACCUCCUUUUUAGGGAGACCUACACCCCUUAGAUAUCGAAAAGCAAACAGCUAUAUAGAUACUAAGGUUGGUCUAACCUAGGUCGGUCGAGGAUAUUUUGCAAAUGCUUGCAAAGCUUUUCAAAUGGUAUUGAUAUGGUUUCGAUAUGGGACAAUUGAUGUUCAGGGUCGGCUAGCAGUCGCCUUCUCCAUGAAUAACGGGACUAGGGUCCCUGUGGUUUCGUAGUCCCAGGAAUCGUUCCCAACCUGUGACUCUAGUUAACAACACAUAAAAAUCUAGACAAAUACAC
rnacentral:rRNA from 1 species